GAACAAGAGGCAAAAAUACCCACAUUUAAGGCAUUAUUUCUCGAGUUAAAUUUGAAUUGGAAACCUAGGAUUUCGUGAGAGAGUGCUACAGCUCUUGCAGACGAACACAAAGGCCAUGGCAAAGUUUUCUAAGCCAAAGUCAAAAUUUUACAUGGUGGAAAUUAUCGGGAUUUAAUUUUAUAAAUAAAAAUUUUGAACAUAUUACAAACAAAUUUUUUUUAAUGCAUAGGAUGCAAUACUAUUUACCAAAAAUAGAUCCAAUAGAAAUUGAAUUAUGUUAUUUAUAAUUUGAUUCCUUUGUGGUUAAAGUUUGUGCGAAAAGCAAUGGAAACUAAACAAAACAAAGGUUUCGUUUAUUAAGGUCAAAGAGUCGAAUAUAUAAAGGUCUUGUUUA